UAACACAUGCAAGUCGCACGAGAAUUGGUCUUCGGACCAUAGUGAAAGUGGCGGACGGGGUGAGUAACACGUGAUAAUCUGCCUUCGGCGGGGACACAGUCGAAGGAUUGCUAAUACCGCAUACGUCAGCGAGGUCUUCGGAUCUUGUUGGGAAAGAUGGCCUCUUCAUGAAAGCUAUCACCGAAGGAUGAGUCCGCGGCCCAUCAGCUAGUUGGCGGUGUAAUAGACCACCAAGGCUAAGACGGGUAGCUGGUCUGAGAGGAUGAUCAGCCACACUGGAACUGAGACACGGUCCAGACUCCUACGGGAGGCAGCAGUGGGGAAUAUUGGGCAAUGGGCGCAAGCCUGACCCAGCCAUGCCGCGUGAGUGAUGAAGGCCUUCGGGUCGUAAAGCUCUGUGGGGAGGGAAGAAACUCCGUAUGGCUAACAUCCAUGCGGUUUGACGGUACCUCCUUAGCAAGCACCGGCUAACUCCGUGCCAGCAGCCGCGGUAA
rnacentral:rRNA from 1 species